rnacentral:rRNA from 1 species
UUACGGGAGGCAGCAGUAAGGAAUAUUGGUCAAUGCCCGGAAGGGUGAACCGGCCAUCCCGCGUGAAGGAUGAAGGGGCUCUGCCUUGUAAACUUCUUUUGUAUGGGGCGAAAAAAGGGGAUUUAUCCUCGACUGACGGUACCAUAAGAAUAAGCACCGGCUAACUCCGUGCCAGCAGCCGCGGUAAU